rnacentral:rRNA from 1 species
AUUCAGUGAAUCAUCGAAUCUUUGAACGCACCUUGCACUCCUUGGUAUUCCGAGGAGUAUGCCUGUUUGAGUCUCAUGG